GCCGCUCGGAUUCUUCUUUUGUCUCAUUGGAAUUGUGCGCUGCCGCUCGCGAACACGCACAGCAGACACUCAGACACAUUUUGUUAUGGUACAAAUAUUUGAACGAAAAACAUGAAUUGCAGAUCAACAACAUUCGAGUUGGCAACCCCCUCCCCCCCCCCGACGACGCACCAUGUUUUGGGGACGACAUAAGCAGGUUUUUCUCGGCAGUCUGAGUCUGCUCCCGGCGGUCUUGACAAUGACUCCUGUUCUGUGUAUGGCACUGGUAGAAUUCACUGUGAGAGCUCACUAUCAGUGAAUUACCAUAGGGCCAUAAACAGAGCAGAGAAAGAACCACUCUGGCCCGCCGCCGCCGCACACUCAGGCAGCUCUCUGGUGGUGUUUGGCAAUGGUAGAACUCACACUGGUGAGCUAGAAGGAUCCGGUGGUUCUAGACUUGCCAACUACUGCUCGAGAGCCUCCACCUGCAAGAGAGAAAAAGAAAACCAAGACCCCCUCCUCCGUCCCACCCCGUUCUGCGUCCUGCCUCCAGUCCCAGGUCAAUGAGUGAGUGGCUGUUGGUGGUGAAGGGCGGGGUGACGCUCUGUUCUUCCCCUGCACACCACAGCCUCAUAGCUCCCCCCCCCUUCCAGGAACGCAACACGCCACUAACACGACCAAUCCAGGUAAAAAAACAUUUUUUUUUAGUUUCUCAGCUGGAAUCUGAUGGAUGGGCAAAUGAAAUGAUGUAUAACUUUUUAUUCAUUUCACACUAAUGGAAAACAAAAAGCUAAAAAAAAAAAAAAAAAAAUCACACGUGUCUCAGUUAAAGUUCACCUAAUGACAAAAAAUAUUAAGAAAGAUAAUAGACAAACAAGGUUUGCGUCUCUUAACAAAAUAAUUUAAAAAGCAAUGUAACAAAACAACCAAAUAGUUACUUUUAAAUUGUAUUAUUUGAAUUGUAUAUCAAAUAAUCUAUUUUUAUUUAAUAUACAGUGGUGCCUUGAUAUACGAGUGACCCAAGCCGAUGAUGAACAAUACUUCAACAAAAAGGGGCGUCAAGCUGUUUUUUUGCCCAGUUGAAGUUUAAUGUAAAACAAAGAGAAUUACACAUUAUGUAUUUAAAGCAACCACACACCUUUGCCUUCCGCUAGUGUAAUGCUAACGCAGAAUGCAAAACACCAUAGAGGAAUAGCAUCAAUAGUCGCAAUGUUAUAACCCUUCAGAUAUUUGAACACAUUUGGUGCAUCAACACAUGUAGACAGACAAUAUAAUAACACUCACAGGCAUAUAUCUUCUUCAUCCUCUGUGAUAAAUGACUAAUAUCAUGGCAGCUUACUGACUCACCGUAGUUGUAAAAGUCUUCUUCGUUUGUGUCUUCAUGAAACAAAUCAAAUCAAACUUUAUUUAUAGAGAUUACUUUUCAUACAAUGAUAUGCAUCUCAA